GACGAACGCUGGCGGCGUGCUUAACACAUGCAAGUCGAACGGAAAGGCCCUGCUUUUGUGGGGUGCUCGAGUGGCGAACGGGUGAGUAACACGUGAGUAACCUGCCCUUGACUUUGGGAUAACUUCAGGAAACUGGGGCUAAUACCGGAUAGGAGCUCCUGCUGCAUGGUGGGGGUUGGAAAGUUUCGGCGGUUGGGGCUGGACUCGCGGCUUAUCAGCUUGUUGGUGGGGUAGUGGCUUACCAAGGCUUUGACGGGUAGCCGGCCUGAGAGGGUGACCGGCCACAUUGGGACUGAGAUACGGCCCAGACUCCUACGGGAGGCAGCAGUGGGGAAUAUUGCAGAAUGGGCGGAAGCCUGAUGCAGCAACGCCGCGUGCGGGAUGACGGCCUUCGGGUUGUAAACCGCUUUCGCCUGUGACGAAGCGUGAGUGACGGUAAUGGGUAAAGAAGCACCGGCUAACUACGUG
rnacentral:rRNA from 1 species